rnacentral:rRNA from 1 species
GAUGAACGCUAGCGGGAGGCCUAACACAUGCAAGUCGAACGGGAUUGAGAGCUUGCUCUCAUGAGAGUGGCGCACGGGUGAGUAACGCGUAUGCAACCUGCCUGUAACAGAGGGAUAGCCCAUAGAAAUGUGGAUUAAUACCUCAUAGUCCUGAGAAGUCGCAUGGCUUUUCAGGUAAAACUCCGGUGGUUACAGAUGGGCAUGCGUGACAUUAGCUAGUUGGUAAGGUAACGGCUUACCAAGGCAACGAUGUCUAGGGGUUCUGAGAGGAUGAUCCCCCACACUGGUACUGAGACACGGACCAGACUCCUACGGGAGGCAGCAGUGAGGAAUAUUGGUCAAUGGGCGCAAGCCUGAACCAGCCAUCCCGCGUGAAGGAUGACGGCCCUAUGGGUUGUAAACUUCUUUUAUACAGGAAGAAAAAUCCCUACGUGUAGGGACUUGCCGGUACUGUAUGAAUAAGCAUCGGCUAACUCCGUGCCAGCAGCCGCGGUAAUACGGAGGAUGCAAGCGUUAUCCGGAUUCAUUGGGUUUAAAGGGUGCGUAGGCGGCUUUUUAAGUCAGUGGUGAAAUCUUGCCGCUUAACGGUAAAAUUGCCAUUGAUACUGAAGAGCUUGAGUACAAUUGAGGUAAGCGGAAUGUGUAGUGUAGCGGUGAAAUGCUUAGAUAUUACACAGAACACCAAUUGCGAAGGCAGCUUACUAAACUGUCACUGACGCUGAUGCACGAAAGCGUGGGGAGCGAACAGGAUUAGAUACCCUGGUAGUCCACGCCGUAAACGAUGAUCACUCGCUGUAUGCGAUACACAGUAUGCGGCCAAGCGAAAGCAUUAAGUGAUCCACCUGGGGAGUACGAUCGCAAGGUUG